AGGAAAACAGUUACUGGAUUCCCUGCAAGGCCAAAGGUGAGGGACAGAGCCAGGCAGCUAAAAAAAGUGAAUGCUGAUAGAAAUGAAAAGCUGAACCAAAGAAGGAGGCCAUUUGCAGAAGAAAACUACAACACCGAAAGUUUAAUUUGUUCUGCAGUGGCCUACAUAGAAGGCAAACUGCCACAGCAGAUUAGACGAGGGGUCCACUGGGGCUGCCGUGCCAGCACCGCCGCAGCUAUCUCUAAAAGCGCGAGAGAAAUGAUGCGUGUGACCUGGAGUGACAAACGGGAAGAGCACCUUGUGGUUCCCUGAGAAGCUUCACUGGGGAGAAGAGGAAGUGACUGCAGCUCCAGUUGAAUCUCUCACCCCUCCCAUAACUGAGAUGGACCAAGAGGACUCAAGGGUCCACAACACUUCUCCUGCUGAGGAAGGGCUCAUCAAGACAGGAUUAAGCAAGGAACACCUUGGCUACAACAGCCAAAGCACCUUGGUGUGACAGCUAAAAAAAAAAAAAGAAAACCAAAAGCUCUUGCCUCCCUCUCCUGCCCCAUUAAAAAUUGUCUUCUCCACACCAAGAAGCAACUUCAGCAAACGAGAGGGAUUCGGGCAGUGGCAAAAAACCUUGCUACACGAGCGGCCCCAACCCAAAGGAAACAUUGGGUCGCGGCAGGUCUCCUCUUAGGACGCUGGAAGUUGCUGACUGGCAUUUUCACAUUACAAGGUGCUACAGUUCGAAGCUUUUCGCUUAGCUGAAUGCAAUACCUUUGCCGCCCUACCCCCACGCUCUUUUGAACACAGGACUAGCCCCCCAAAACCCCUCUUCUACACACGAGGGCUUUCUGUUCCCUUCAGAGGCCGAACGCAAUUGCGGGUGCAUAGCUGGGCGACCAAGAAGGUUUCGGCUUACGUCUAAGCCGGCACUCCAGAUUCAAUCAGAGGUAGCUGGUGGCACUUGAGCCGCAUCUCCGGGAACCUGCCCGCUUUAGUGGCAACCUGAGACAAGGCAAGGACGCGAACGUGGCCCUGCCGAUCGAUGCCCGCCCUGCGAGCGGCCAGAGGCCGGCAGCUCGGGGCGGGCAGGCGGCGGGAGCAGAGGAACCUCACACAAACAAAAGGUGCGCGCUGACGUUAAUCUCCGCUAACGAAGCCUGCACAGAGCCCGCGCUCUGAGUCACCCGGCGCAGCGGCGAGCCGAGAGAAAGCUCAUGAAUCAAAGGGCCCUGCAGAAAGCUCAUGAAUCAAACCACCCUGCCGUAACGAGGGGAAGCGGUGCGGGCAGGGGGAGGGGAGGAGAGCGGCUCAGGGCUUGCGUCAGACCCGCAGCCGCUGCCUCCGCGCUGCCCCUGCCGGCCGGGCAGCGGGACCCGCCGGCGGCCUCGCCUGGCCCCGCAGGCCUCGCCCAGCAGAGCCGUGCCGGGACAGCCGACGGGGUGCGGGAGGGCCUCAGCAGGGCACAGCUCCGCCGUGUGCACCGCACCCCGCGGGAGAGGAGCACUCUUACACAGGGCAGCUGAGAGGGGCACUCUCACACAGGACAGCCGCCGGGGAGUGGGGGAUGACCAGAGCAAGCCCCUGGGGGGAGCGCUGUGAGUGUGCGGCCAAGUCUCCGUAACCAUUUUGUUCGGUUAGGUGCCCAUGUGUAAGGAAGGUCAGAGCAGAAGCAACCAGCUAUGUAGAUCAGGCCAUAAAGAUAAUUUUUGCAGCUUCAAGUGACACAAGUACAUACACCUUAACCUGUUUACCAUGGCAGCAACACGUGGGCACAGAGGCUCCUUUCCUCUCCGGUCAAUUGAAGACUUGGGACAGGUGGACAGCUGCUGGGAAAUUGGUUCCAGUUCUUUUGUAUAAUCAAAUGUUAAGUUUACAUAAAAAGUAUGUCAAAGAAGAGAACCAUAAACCACCUUUCUCCAUAAUAUAUACCAGGCAGCAAAACAUAUGUUUCUGACCAUACAGAAACAAGAGGGUUUUUUCACAGCUCCAACCUGCUUUUCUGUUGGCUGAAUUCUCAACAUGCCUCCAGGCUGGGCGGUGAGGGGUUUGAUGUGGCAAUUCCAGGUGCUGGAGCAAUUACACACAUCUUCACAGACACAAAAUCCUGGAUUAUUGCAAGGUAGGCCAGAAACGAAAGCCAAGAGCCUGCAAGCAAAUUUUGCAGUCUUUCAGGCUGGCAGGAGGAAAGGCCUUCACCAAAUACUCAGGUGGCUCCUUGACAGAAAAAGACAGAUUAAGCUGAUGGAAGAUGCAUUCAGAGCCCACAUGCCUUGCAGAAGUGGCAGAUAGUGCAAAGCAAGCCUGCUAUCAAUAAAGUUGCUGUGGGACAUUUGCUUCUCCUUUAUUUAUUUUUUGGAAAGAGGAAAAAAAAAGAGAAAAGCAGGCCAUUUUGCUGACUGAUGCAGAGGGGCUGACCAUACAAACGCCAUAGUGAAACACACAGUAUGGCCAUCCAAAUCAUGGGCCUGGGGAGCAGGAAUAGCUACUAGCCUCUCCUAGCAGAGUCAUCAAGAGGGAAGAGGAGCUUUCCUGUGUGAAUGCAGUACUUUUCUUAGUGCUUACCUGAAAGAUGAGUGGGGUUUGUGAUGAUAAACAAGCAUAAAAACCGUGUCCGGGGGAUGUUCACUUGAUAGAUACUAGCUUACUAGCACUUUCAAGAGAGACGAGCAAGAAGGAAACAGAUUGGCA